AUCAACUUUCGAUGGUAGGAUAGAGGCCUACCAUGGUGGUAACGGGUAACGGGGUGUUAGGGCACGACACCGGAGAGGGAGCCUGAGAAACGGCUACCACAUCCAAGGAUGGCAGCAGGCGCGCAAAUUACCCAAUCCCGACACGGGGAGGUAGUGACAAUAAAUAACAAUACGGGGUCCUUUCGGGUUUCGUAAUUGGAAUGAGUACAAUUUAAAUCUCUUAACGAGGAACAAUUGGAGGGCAAGUCUGGUGCCAGCAGCCGCGGUAAUUCCAGCUCCAAUAGCGUAUAUUAAAGUUGUUGCAGUUAAAAAGCUCGUAGUUGAAUUUCGGGAUCAGUACGCUGGUCGUGCCUUCGGUAUGCACUGGUGUCACUGGUUCCUCCCUUCUGAAGAACUGUCAUGCCAUUCAGUUGGUGUGGCGGGGAAUCAGGACUGUUACUUUGAAAAAAUUAGAGUGUUUAAAGCAGGCUCGCGCUUGGAUACAUUAGCAUGGAAUAAUGAAAUAGGACGUUUGAUCCUAUUUUGUUGGUUUCUAGGAUCGACGUAAUGAUUAAUAGGGAUAGUUGGGGGCAUUAGUAUUCAAUUGUCAGAGGUGAAAUUCUUGGAUUUAUUGAAGACUAACUACUGCGAAAGCAUUUGCCAAGGAUGUUUUCAUUAAUCAAGAACGAAAGUUAGGGGAUCGAAGACGAUCAGAUACCGUCGUAGUCUUAACCAUAAACUAUGCCGACUAGGGAUCGGAUGAUGUUAAUUUUUUAAUGACUCAUUCGGCGCCUUACNGGAAACCAAAGUGUUUGGGUUC
rnacentral:rRNA from 1 species